UACGAAGGGGGGCUAGCGUUGCUCGGAAUCACUGGGCGUAAAGCGCACGUAGGCGGAUCUUUUAAGUCAGGGGUGAAAUCCCGGAGCUCAACUCCGGAACUGCCUUUGAUACUGGAGAUCUUGAGUCCGGGAGAGGUGAGUGGAACUGCGAGUGUAGAGGUGAAAUUUCGUAGAUAUUCGCAAGAACACCAGUGGCGAAGGCGGCUCACUGGCCCCGGUACUGACGCUGAGGUGCGAAAGCGUGGG
rnacentral:rRNA from 1 species